rnacentral:rRNA from 1 species
GACGAACGCUGGCGGCGUGCCUAAUACAUGCAAGUCGAGCGGACCUUUUAAAAGCUUGCUUUUGAAAGGUCAGCGGCGGACGGGUGAGUAACACGUGGGCAACCUGCCUGUAAGACUGGGAUAACUUCGGGAAACCGGAGCUAAUACCGGAUAAUAUAAGGAACCUCCUGGUUCUUUAUUGAAAGAUGGUUUCGGCUAUCACUUACAGAUGGGCCCGCGGCGCAUUAGCUAGUUGGUGAGGUAAUGGCUCACCAAGGCGACGAUGCGUAGCCGACCUGAGAGGGUGAUCGGCCACACUGGGACUGAGACACGGCCCAGACUCCUACGGGAGGCAGCAGUAGGGAAUCUUCCACAAUGGACGAAAGUCUGAUGGAGCAACGCCGCGUGAGCGAUGAAGGCCUUCGGGUCGUAAAGCUCUGUUGUUAGGGAAGAACAAGUGCGAGAGUAACUGCUCGCACCUUGACGGUACCUAACCAGAAAGCCACGGCUAACUACGUGCCAGCCGCCGCGGUAA